UGGGGAAUUUUGCACAAUGGGGGAAACCCUGAUGCAGCGACGCCGCGUGAUUUAGAAGGCCUUCGGGUUGUAAAAAUCUUUUCUAUGGGAAGAAAAUGACAGUACCAUAGGAAUAAGGACCGGCUAAUUACGUGCCAGCAGCCGCGGUAAUACGUAAGGUCCGAGCGUUGUCCGGAAUCAUUGGGCGUAACGGGUACGUAGGCGGGUAAGCAAGUUAGAAGUGAAAUCCUAUAGCUCAACUAUAGUAAGCUUUUAAAACUGCUCAUCUUGAGGUAUGGAAGGGAAAGUGGAAUUCCUAGUGUAGCGGUGAAAUGCGCAGAUAUUAGGAGGAAUACCGGUGGCGAAGGCGACUUUCUGGCCAUAACCUGACGCUGAGGUACGAAAGCGUGGGUAGCAAACAGG
rnacentral:rRNA from 1 species